GACGAACGCUGGCGGCGUGCUUAACACAUGCAAGUCGAACGAUGAACUUGGAGCUUGCUCUGGGGGAUUAGUGGCGAACGGGUGAGUAACACGUGAGUAACCUGCCCUGGACUCUGGGAUCACUUCGAGAAAUCGGAGCUAAUACCGGAUAGGACCUUGCACCGCCGGGUGUGGGGUGGUACGUUUUUCGGUUUGGGAUGGACUCGCGGCCUAUCAGCUUGUUGGUGAGGUAAUGGCUCACCAAGGCGUCGACGGGUAGCCGGCCUGAGAGGGUGACCGGCCACACUGGGACUGAGACACGGCCCAGACUCCUACGGGAGGCAGCAGUGGGGAAUAUUGCACAAUGGGCGCAAGCCUGAUGCAGCAACGCCGCGUGCGGGAUGACGGCCUUCGGGUUGUAAACCGCUUUUAGUAGGGAAGAAGCCUUCGGGUGACGGUACCUGCAGAAAAAGGACCGGCUAACUACGUGCCAGCCGCCGCGGUAAUAC
rnacentral:rRNA from 1 species